rnacentral:tRNA from 1 species
GACGGAUUAGCUCACUGGUAGAGCACGAACAGACCGUUCGAGGAAGUGGGUUCGAAUCCCAUAUCCGUCC